GGGGCGUGUGCGGCGGCGGCGGCGGCUGGAGCGACGGCUCCUUCUCGAGCUCGGUUUCGGCUCGUGGCGGCGGCGACGGCUCCUCCUACUCCGUCGAGAUGGAGAUGAAGAGGCGGCUCACGUUGGAGCUGCGGAACAAGAAGCCCGGGGAGGUGAAGGAACUGGUCCUGGAUAACUGCCGCUCUGAAGAUGGACGAAUCGUGGGCCUGUCCUCAGACUUCGACAGCCUGGAGUUCCUCAGCAUGAUCAACAUCAAUCUGCUGUCUGUCUCCAACCUCCCCAAGCUCAGCAGGCUCCGCAAGCUGGAGCUGAGUGACAACCGAAUCUGUGGUGGCUUGGAAGUGCUAGCCGAGAGAACCCCAAACCUGACUCACUUGAACCUAAGUGGCAACAAAAUCAAGGACAUCAACACCUUAGAACCUCUGAAGAAGCUGCCAAACUUACGCAGCCUGGACCUCUUCAACUGUGAGGUGACCAUGUUGAUCAACUACCGGGAGAGCAUGUUUGGCCUCCUGCCCCAACUCACCUACCUGGACGGUUUUGAUGCAGAUGACCAAGAAGCCCCUGACUCGGACCCUGAGGUUGAUGGGGAGGGUCUGGACGAUGAGUACGAUGAGAAUGGUGAAGAAGGCGAGGAAGAGGAGGAGGACGACGAGGACGAAUUCGACGAAGAAGUUGUCGAUGAUGAAGAUGAUGAUGAAGACGACGACGAUUUGGACGGCGAAGAGGAAGAGGAUGGUGUCGAUGACGAGGUCAGGAUUACUGCCUCGACUGCCCUGCAAGUUGGGUUCCAAUCUCUGAAAUCCCCUCCAGCGAGAGGUGCAGCCUGACCCUGGCAGGCCCGGCUGGCUGGCUAGCUGGCUGAGGUGGGGGAGGGAUGGGUCAGGACCGACUCCUGCGUCACCAGGCCCCUCGGCCCCAAGUGUCCAACAGUUGCCACCCGACGGUGGCCAGCUCUGCUCUGAACGCCCUGGUCUCUCUGUGCUGUGUUCUCCCUUUCAUCCCCCCAACUCCUCCUGGCCCCAAAGCCUUCUGGGCCAAUGCAUUAUUUGGGGAGGGUCGGCGUUCUCUGGUUGCCAAGCCAGCAAAACGAAGGGCUCUGGCCUCCCUGACGGAGGCUGAGAAGGAACAAUGGCUGGACGGGAUCCGGCGGCCUUCAGCAUGCAGAGGGGGAGGCUUGGGGUUGGGGGUGUGUGUGUGUGUGUGUGUGUGUAAGAAAACAGGGUUUGAGGUUUUGUUUCGGAUGAGUGUGUUGGCCUCAUGGACUCUGGUUUCUCCCUCCCCCUUCAGGAUGAGGAUGAGGACGAGGACGGAGAAGACGAUGAGGAUGAGGAUGGAGAGGAAGACCACCCCCAAGGAGAAAAGAGAAAACGAGACUUGGAAGAUGAAGGAGAGGAGGAUCCUGAGGACGAGGAUGAGGAUGACUGAGCCAGCUGUCCAAGCAAUCAGUUCUGUGGACUCUACCUGCAUCUUGUCUCCCUUCCUACCCCAUCUCCCCUACACACACACCCUCCCCCUCCUUAUUAUAUGGCUGCAGCAGCAAUAUAUAUAUAUAUAUAUAUAUUUUUAGGAUGCAGAGUUGCUAAGCGGUCAGGGGAUCCCUAUGUAUCGAGUUCAUUCUCAUAACCAAAGUUUUCCUCCAUUUUGGUGGCUUUUUGGGCAACAAUUCAUUGGACCUUAUUUUUAUUUUUUUUAAAUUUCAUAUCCUCAAACCUCUUGUUGCCAAUAGUCAGCUUGACUUUGUGUACUCAGAACAUGCCAGUGCCCCUCCCCGUCUCCUCUUCUAACCCACUCCCCUGGGUGUUGAGGGGGGCAUCAGGACAGGCACUGGUUUUCCCCUGGCUGAGCUCUGUUAGGGUCUUGGACCUUUUCUCAGGAUGAGUCUUGCAGCCUGCCCAUCUCCCCACCUCCUCCCCCCACCCCCAUCCCCACCCCCCCACUUCUCUUGAAAUAAAGAAAAACUGGAAUUUUUUUUUUCACCCUGUUUUCUGGCUUUGUAGCUGGUGUCCAGGUGGAAUGAGCUGCUGGGAGAAGAGAGAUGGGUGGACAGUAGUGGUAGGAUGGCAUUUAGGAUCUGGCCCUUCCCCAGCCCUGUGGGGUAGCUGGCAGGCUCAGCUGGUCUCUCCACCAGAGCAAGUCCAUAGACCCCCUUCAUCUUCCAUCUUUAAUCCCGUGCUACCAGCUACCUCUGACACUUCAUCAAGGCCAAGAGCUGUUGAUUCUCCAGGCAGUGGGCACUGCCUCAUCUGUUUUUUCCCCAAGCCGACCCCAAAACACCGCAGUAGUGGGUGGGAAGUGACACACACAGGUCACCCCCCCCCCACCAGGCUGGACCACCUGUCACCUCUCCCCUCACUUCUUUGGGGUUUCCUCAGGUUCAGGCUUUGGAAAGGAGCCAAGGAAAAGUCCUUGGAAGAUGCAACAGGAUGUAAUCGUAGAGGGGAGGGAGACGGAUGCAUGCGUGUGUCUGUAUGUGUGUUGGAGGAGAGGCAGGGGUGUUUGCUGGCAUUUGCUCUUCCCUGGAUUGUAGGGGUUUUUUGUUGUUUUUUUAAUUCAAAUUGUACGGCCUUUUCAAAAGUUAGCCUUGGGUGGGGGCCUGCUGAGGUUGUUGGACCCUUUUGUACCAUUAGCUGUGGACUCUGGAUGAGACUAAUAAAAAUCUGUUUUAAUAAGUAA